rnacentral:rRNA from 1 species
GACGAACGCUGGCGGUGUGCUUAACACAUGCAAGUCGAACGGUAAGGCCCUGUCUGGGGUCCACUAGUGGCGAACGGGGGUGUAACACGUGUGUAACCUUCCCUCAUCUCUGGGAUAAAAGUCGGAAACGGGUGCUAAUUCUGGAUAUGAGCUUGCGAGGCAUCUUGUGGGUUGGAAAGAUCUUUGUGGUUGGGGUUGGACUCGCGGGCUAUCAGCUUGUUGGUGAGGUAGUGGGUAACCAAGGCUUCGUCGGGUAGCCGGCCAGAGAGAUCGACCGGCGACACUGGGUCUGAGAGACGGCCCAAACGCCGACGGGUGGCAGAAGUGGGGAAUCGUGAACCAUGGACGGAGGGCGGAUGCAGAAACGCCGCGGGCUGGAUGACGGCCUUAGGGUUGUAAACCGCUUUCAAUUGUGACGAAGCUUGUUGUGACGGUAGCAGUAGAAGAAGCACCGGCUAACUACGUG